UACGUAGGGCGCAAGCGUUAUCCGGAAUUAUUGGGCGUAAGGGCUCGUAGGCGGUUUGUCGCGUCGGGAGUGAAUCCACUGGCUUAACUGGUGGCUUGCUUCGAUACGGGCAGACUGGAGGUAUGCAGGGGAGAACGGAAUUCCUGGUGUAGCGGUGAAAUGCGCAGAUAUCAGGAGGAACACCGGUGGCGAAGGCGGUUCUCUGGGCAUUACCUGACGCUGAGGAGCGAAAGUGUGGGGAGCGAACAGG
rnacentral:rRNA from 1 species